rnacentral:SRP_RNA from 1 species
GCCAGGCAUGGUGGUGCACGCCUGUAGUCCCAGUUACUUGGGAGGCUGAGACAGGAGGAUCGCUUGAGCCCAGGAGUUCAAGGCUGCAGUGAACCAUGAUCAUGUCACUGCACUCCAGCCUGGGUGACAGAGUGAGAUUCCGUCCCAA